rnacentral:rRNA from 1 species
AGAGUUUGAUCCUGGCUCAGGACGAACGCUGGCGGCGCGCCUAACACAUGCAAGUCGAACGAGCGAGAGAGAGCUUGCUUUCUCGAGCGAGUGGCGAACGGGUGAGUAACGCGUGAGGAACCUGCCUCAAAGAGGGGGACAACAGUUGGAAACGACUGCUAAUACCGCAUAAGCCCACGGCUCGGCAUCGAGCAGAGGGAAAAGGAGCAAUCCGCUUUGAGAUGGCCUCGCGUCCGAUUAGCUAGUUGGUGAGGUAACGGCCCACCAAGGCAACGAUCGGUAGCCGGACUGAGAGGUUGAACGGCCACAUUGGGACUGAGACACGGCCCAGACUCCUACGGGAGGCAGCAGUGGGGAAUAUUGCACAAUGGGGGAAACCCUGAUCCAGCGACGCCGCGUGGAGGAAGAAGGUCUUCGGAUUGUAAACUCCUGUUGUUGAGGAAGAUAAUGACGGUACUCAACAAGGAAGUGACGGCUAACUACGUGCCAGCAGCCGCGGUAAAACGUAGGUCACAAGCGUUGUCCGGAAUUACUGGGUGUAAAGGGAGCGCAGGCGGGAAGACAAGUUGGAAGUGAAAUCCAUGGGCUCAACCCAUGAACUGCUUUCAAAACUGUUUUUCUUGAGUAGUGCAGAGGUAGGCGGAAUUCCCGGUGUAGCGGUGGAAUGCGUAGAUAUCGGGAGGAACACCAGUGGCGAAGGCGGCCUACUGGGCACCAACUGACGCUGAGGCUCGAAAGUGUGGGUAGCAAACAGGAUUAGAUACCCUGGUAGUCCACACUGUAAACGAUGAUUACUAGGUGUUGGAGGAUUGACCCCUUCAGUGCCGCAGUUAACACAAUAAGUAAUCCACCUGGGGAGUACGACCGCAAGGUUGAAACUCAAAGGAAUUGACGGGGGCCCGCACAAGCAGUGGAGUAUGUGGUUUAAUUCGACGCAACGCGAAGAACCUUACCAAGUCUUGACAUCCUGCGACGGUGCUGGAAACAGUACUUUCCUUCGGGACGCAGAGACAGGUGGUGCAUGGUUGUCGUCAGCUCGUGUCGUGAGAUGUUGGGUUAAGUCCCGCAACGAGCGCAACCCUUAUGGUCAGUUACUACGCAAGAGGACUCUGGCCAGACUGCCGUUGACAAAACGGAGGAAGGUGGGGAUGACGUCAAAUCAUCAUGCCCUUUAUGACUUGGGCUACACACGUACUACAAUGGCGUUAAACAAAGAGGAGCAAGACCGCGAGGUGGAGCAAAACUCAGAAACAACGUCCCAGUUCGGACUGCAGGCUGCAACUCGCCUGCACGAAGUCGGAAUUGCUAGUAAUCGCAGAUCAGCAUGCUGCGGUGAAUACGUUCCCGGGCCUUGCACACACCGCCCGUCA